rnacentral:rRNA from 1 species
GGGCAACCCUGAUCCAGCAAUGCCGYGUGUGUGAAGAAGGCCUUCGGGUUGUAAAGCACUUUUGUCCGGAAAGAAAUCUUCKGGGCUAAUACSSSYGGGGGAUGACGGUACCGGAAGAAUAAGCACCGGCUAACUACGUGCCAGCAGCCGCGGUAAUACGUAGGGUGCGAGCGUUAAUCGGAAUUACUGGGCGUAAAGCGUGCGCAGGCGGUGAUGUAAGACCGAUGUGAAAUCCCCGGGCUYAACCUGGGAACUGCAUUGGUGACUGCADCGCUVGAGUAUGGCAGAGGGGGGUGGAAUUCCACGUGUAGCAGUGAAAUGCGUAGAGAUGUGGAGGAACACCGAUGGCGAAGGCAGCCCCCUGGGCCAAUACUGACGCUCAUGCACGAAAGCGUGGGGAGCAAACAGGAUUAGAUACCCUGGUAGUCCACGCCCUAAACGAUGUCAACUGGUUGUCGGGCCUUCAUUGGCUUGGUAACGUAGCUAACGCGUGAAGUGACCGCCUGGGGAG